rnacentral:misc_RNA from 1 species
GAUGAAGAACGUAGCGAAAUGCGAUAAGUAAUGUGAAUUGCAGAAUUCAGUGAAUCAUCGAAUCUUUGAACGCAUCUUGCGCUCCUUGGUAUUCUGAGGAGCAUGCCUGUUUGAGUGUCAUUAAAUUCUCAACUACACUGACUUUGAAUUGGUGUGGCUUGGAUUUGGGGGGAAGAUUGUUGUGGGCUUUUUGUAUAGUCUGCUCCCCUGAAAUUGAUUAGCGGUACCUUUGUGGAACUGUCUACAGGUGUGAUAAUUAUCUACAUCUUAGACAUCUGCUGGAAUGCUGCUUUCUAAACCUUACUUGUAUUGACAAUCUUGACCUCAAAUCAGGUAGGACUACCCGCUGAACUUAAGCAUAUCAAUAAGCGGAGGA